rnacentral:rRNA from 1 species
UACGAAGGGGGCUAGCGUUGCUCGGAAUCACUGGGCGUAAAGGGUGCGUAGGCGGGUCUUUAAGUCAGAGGUGAAAUCCCAAGGCUCAACCUUGGAACUGCCUUUGAUACUGGGAGUCUUGAGUUCGGGAGAGGUGAGUGGAACUGCGAGUGUAGAGGUGAAAUUCGUAGAUAUUCGCAAGAACACCAGUGGCGAAGGCGGCUCACUGGCCCGAUACUGACGCUGAGGUGCGAAAGCGUGGGGAGCAAACAGG